UUAAAGAGUUCUAUAACUCCCAAACCCAUGUGAACAUACCUAACGUUGCCUCGGCAGGUCGCACCUACCUUGUAGCACCCUACCCUGUAGGGCCUACCCGGGAGGUGCGGGUAAGCCUGCCGGCGGCCCACCAAACUCUGUUUGAUAUUGAAUUCUGAACCUAUAACUAAAUAAGUUAAAACUUUCAACAACGGAUCUCUUGGUUCUGGCAUCGAUGAAGAACGCAGCGAAAUGCGAUAAGUAAUGUGAAUUGCAGAAUUCAGUGAAUCAUCGAAUCUUUGAACGCAUAUUGCGCCCAUUAGUAUUCUAGUGGGCAGGACCGUUCGAGCGUCAUUUCAACCCUUAAGCCUUCGUUGCUUAGUGUUGGGAGCCUACGGCAACGUAGCUCCUCAAAGUUAGUGGCGGAGUUAGUUCACACUCUAGACGUAGUAAUUUUUUAUCUCGCCUAUUAGUUGGACUAAUCCCCUGCCGUAAAACCCCCAAUUUAUCAAGGUUGACCUCGAAUCGGUUCAGACAAACUCGCUAAAUUGAAGCAUCUUAGUCAGCGAAGGAAAAGAAACCAACAGGGAUUGCCCUAGUAACGGCGAGUGAAGCGGCAACAGCUCAAAUUUGAAAUCUGGCCCUCGGGUCCGAGUUGUAAUUUG
rnacentral:rRNA from 1 species